ACUCGUUCUUUUCGCUUCGCGCUACUCUCGCUUUCUUGUUCCCUUAACAACCAAGCUUCAAACAGUACAGUUUCCCGCCAAUUUUUUACGAGGCGAAGGUUUCGUAUAAUCUACUCCAUCGUGCCGCAGUCAUUUCCGCCGGUUGAUGGCGAUGGAGAUGACUCCGGCUUUGGUGGUCUCGGCUUCAUUAUGUUCAGUGACCGCUCUCUUUCGUGGUGAAAUCUUAAGCAGCAUCAGGAGCAAGGCAGUGUGUCGUCUGAUUGUCUUAUCUCGCGUUCUCGAUCAAACCUGGUUUGAUCGCUAAUGGUUUGCGUUUAGAAGGAGAGCGUUCUUCGUUUUUUGCUGGCUUUUCGUUGCUCAUGUUGUUCAUUGUUUCGUUGUUUCUGGAGAGUCAGAUGACUUCGGUGUUCUUACUGCAGAGGAUUCCUCGGAGGUUCAUAGAAGGUAAUGAUCUCGAUCGAUUGCGCUUUGAGGAUCUUUUUGGUUAUCAGAAAUCGAAGCUUGCUCUGGUGAAAAUCUUCGAAUGACAUGAUAGAUACAGUUAAUGGAAAUGAACUGUGGAUUCCGGUGUACGCCUAUCCCACUGUUCCUACUGUGAUCAUCUGCCAAUAACAUCAUCAAUUUGGAAUUGCGAUCACUGUUUGUUUCCCAAUCUAUAAGAUUGUGUCAUAGUGACUGAGUAUUAUUGGCUUGUAGAGAUUCACAAUCCUGUUCUUAAUUACUGGUAAUGAAGAACAUGAAGAAGCUUGGAUGUGAUUUAGGGUACGGAUGUGUCGUUGAAGCAUCUGAGACUCAUCGAAUUUGUGGAACAACUUGGAUCACCUUUCAUUCAUCGUUGUCGAGGGGAUCCAUGGGUUAAUUUUUACUAAAUUCAGUUCGGAUGCUUUGAUAAGAGCUCUCUCGAUUCUUUGUUCUGAUGGAAGGCUCACUAGAAUUGCAAACAAUAAUGCUUCAUCCGGAAGAUUGCUAACUAAAAAUGUGCUUGCUACAGAGUGCAUUGCUGGAUAUACAAAUCUCUUGGAGGAAGUUCUCAAGAGAUUUGCAUAUCCAAGUAAGAGCUUGAAAGGGCAGGGCGGCCAGUCCGCAUUUACGAGAUAUACAGCGGAUCUGGUGCUUGGACAUUUUUGCAUCAUGGUGCUCUUUUUCGUGGACUUAGUCUUGAUGUUUGUUGAUUUCAUUAGAUGCCGUAGACAGGAAGCUUGACAAUGUCAUAUGAAUGUUCUUGCUUGCUUCCUCAGGGCUGGAGUGGGCGGAGAAUGAUUUGCUUAAAUCAAAGAGCAACAUCCGUUUGAAGAACGUCAGGAGUUCAUGUGGUCGGGAUCCUUCCAACAUUGCAAUGCUGAAGCCAUGGAUACAAAUUUGGCUGAAACUCGUUAACAGGAGAUGUAUGUAUGUUGGGAAGGGAUUUAUGUAAGCGAUAGGAACAAAGGCUUGGGCUAAGCUUAAGCAUGAAUCACAGUCAAAAGCCGCUUGGAGGAUAGAAGAACUUAAAUAAUUUUGUCGUCAAUGGUCCUUUUUAAAAAAAAAAAAAA